UGGAUAAGACAUGCAAGUCGAACGCUGGUCCAUGUGUAGCAAUACAUAUGGGUUGGAGUGGCGUAAGGGUGCGUGACACGUGGGCAAUUUGCCGUGUAGUUGGGGAUAACUCGCUGAAAGGCGAGCUAAUACCGAAUGUGGAUUCUUGGGGGCAUCCCCGGGUUUCCAAAGCUGGGGACCGUAAGGCCUGGCGCUAUACGAUGAGCCCGCGUCCUAUCAGCUAGUUGGUGAGGUAACGGCUCACCAAGGCUAAGACGGGUAGCUGGUCUGAGAGGACGACCAGCCACACUGGAACUGAGACACGGUCCAGACACCUACGGGUGGCAGCAGUCGAGAAUUUUUCUCAAUGGGGGAAACCCUGAAGGAGCGACGCCGCGUGGGGGAUGAAGGGCUUCGGCUCGUAAACCCC
rnacentral:rRNA from 1 species